UUAGUGCAAAGCGUGAACAGAGUGUCCUUGUUCACGUGCACAGUAAAUCUCAUUUAGUUGCGAAUCAAUACUUCGUUUGGUGCAGCUUUUUCAACUUGCAUGGCUGAAUGGUUAACAUAUUUUGGCAUAAGUUAGGGUGUUUGUACAGUUUAGAAAAUCCAAUCGAAAGUAAAUGGAGACAUACAAGAAACAAAAAUUGUCUCGUGCUAUUAAGGAAAUGAUUAAGGAUGAAGAAGUACUAAUUAACGCAGCUGUAAAAGAAACACAACGAGUAAUUCAUUAGAGAACCAUUAGAGAACUGCCAGUAAAAGUGUUGAGCUUCUUAACAUUCGAGCAGCGGAGAUCGGGUCCAUUUCAACACAGAAUGCAUUUUAAAAAACAUAUUGAAAAAAUUGAUGAAUGACAUUAUAAAUGAUCCCAAGCGUAAUUAGUUAUUUCUGUCAAAACUGUUCAUCGCGCUGGAGUUAAUUUUAAGCUCUAUCCUUCCAAUGCAAAUGAUGACAAAGGGAAAGUUCGACGUCAAGGGGUGAGAACUUCUACAUGAAAUUUCACUUUGAAAACGUGCCACCGUGAUCAAUAAUGGCACAGCAAUUGAAAAGUUUCGAGGAUGGAGGCAUUACAUUACAGAUAUGAGGUUUCGCGUAAAUUCAGUUUAAGAUACGGCGAAGCCAAAGAGCUUGACGAAAGAACAUUUCGUACCACCUUCAGUCAUUACGACAAGUUAUUUUUAAAAAGAGACAUUACGCAACAGCUUCACUCUGUGAAUCUUGUAUUCCCGAUAUGUGUCAAUGCCAUGAAAACACGGGGGAUGGCUUCGACGACAGAGGCAAGGACGAUAAUGUAGUGAUUCUCGAGUACCUUCGACAGGCUAUUUCUGUGUUAGUAACGACACGAGGUGCUUCCAAUCACAUGAACGUGUAAUGCUAAAAAAUUAGUGGCGUCGGAGUAUAUUUGUAAAAUAUUAUUCAAUAUGUACUCGAUAAGUAUUCUUCGAAUAUUAGAGAAAUAGAAUGCGAGAAAAUGUUCCUCGUUCAUGUAUUUUAGUUUCUUGAAUUUGCA